rnacentral:rRNA from 1 species
UGGGGAAUUUUGGUCAAUGGGCGAAAGCCUGAACCAGCAACGCCGCGUGGGUGAUGAAGGCCUUCGGGUUGUAAAGCCCUGUCGGGAGGGACGAACCGCCGGAGUAACGAUCCGGCCUGACGGUACCUCCAAAGGAAGCACCGGCUAACUCUGUGCCAGCAGCCGCGGUAAUACAGAGGGUGCAAGCGUUGUUCGGAAUUACUGGGCGUAAAGCGCGUGUAGGCGGCGCGGCAAGUCUUGUGUGAAAGCCCCGGGCUCAACCCGGGAAGUGCGCGAGAUACUGCUGUGCUGGAGUACUGGAGAGGAUGGCGGAAUUCCCGGUGUAGAGGUGAAAUUCGUAGAUAUCGGGAGGAACACCUGUGGCGAAGGCGGCCAUCUGGACAGUUACUGACGCUGAGACGCGAAAGCGUGGGGAGCAAACAG